rnacentral:rRNA from 1 species
UACGGAGGGAGCGAGCGUUGUUCGGAUUUACUGGGCGUAAAGAGCGCGUAGGCGGUUUGGCAAGUCAGAUGUGAAAACCAUCGGCUCAACCGAUUGGACUGCAUUUGAUACUGCCUGACUUGAGUUCAGGAGAGGGGAGCGGAAUUCCCAGUGUAGCGGUGGAAUGCGUAGAUAUUGGGAAGAACACCUGUGGCGAAGGCGGCUCUCUGGACUGAUACUGACGCUGAGGCGCGAAAGCUAGGGGAGCAAACAGGAUUAGAUACCCCCGUA